UACGAAGGGGGCUAGCGUUGUUCGGAAUCACUGGGCGUAAAGCGUACGCAGGCGGAUUGAUAAGUCAGGGGUGAAAUCCCGGGGCUCAACCUCGGAAUUGCCUUUGAUACUGUCUAUCUUCGAGUUCGGGAGAGGUUGGCGGAAUUCCUAGUGUAGAGGUGAAAUUCGUAGAUAUUAGGAAGAACACCAGUGGCGAAGGCGGCCAACUGGCCCGAUACUGACGCUCAUGUACGAAAGCGUGGGGAGCAAACAGG
rnacentral:rRNA from 1 species